GAGAGAGGUUGCCGAAUUCUAGAGAGAGAAGGAGCAGGAAAAACAUGAAGAAGGAGAGAAGGAGAGAAAGACAAAGGAGAAGAGGAAGAAGGGCAUUCGAAGUCUCUAAGGUUCUAAUCUCACAAGAGCAUAGGGAUUGUUGUUUAGGGUUUGGCCUACAAGGCAAAUAGGGCUUCUGAUUGGCACGUGUGGUAAUGUGGGGAGUUCCGACAUCAGGGUGUGUAUGGCGUGGGGGUAUCCUGUGGGCGAACAAACGACCAGCUUAAACGCCAAAAUUCAAAGGACGAUGUUAUGUUUUAUUUUGAUUACUAAACUUGUCAGUGGGACUUAAACUAUAUUUAUUUUUA